rnacentral:tRNA from 1 species
GGAGUGAUGCCUGAGCGGCCGAAAGGGGCACCCUGCUAAGGUGUUAACUGCGCAAGCGGUUCGGGGGUUCGAAUCCCCCUCACUCCGCAA